rnacentral:rRNA from 1 species
GGGCAGCAGUGAGGGAUAUUGCGCAAUGGGGGAAACCCUGACGCAGCCACGCCGCGUGAGUGAAGAAGGCCUUCGGGUCGUAAAGCUCUGUCAGAGGGGAAGAAACCCGGGUAGGCCAAUAACCUAUUCGGCUGACGGUACCCUCAAAGGAAGCACCGGCUAACUCCGUGCCAGCAGCCGCGGUAAUACGGAGGGUGCAAGCGUUGUUCGGAAUUACUGGGCGUAAAGCGAGUGUAGGUGGCUUGAUAAGUCGAAUGUGAAAUCCCUGGGCUUAACUCAGGACGUGCAUCCGAUACUGUCAAGCUUGAGUCUCGGAGAGGGAAGCGGAAUUCCCGGUGGAGAGGUGAAAUUCGUAGAUAUCGGGAGGAACAUCAGUGGCGAAGGCGGCUUCCUGGACGAUGACUGACACUCAGACUCGAAAGCGUGGGUAGCAAACAGGAUUAGAUACCCCUGUAGUC